CGCCCCCCACCGAUCCACACUCCCGCCGCGAGGCGGUAGUUUGCUAAGGGUCGAGUGGAAGUGGCCGUCCCGGCGCGAGAACGCUAAGGGUCGGCUGAAAUGGAUGGAAUUGGGCCGCCGUGGUGACACAGUCCGCGAUCGGGUGAUUUUGUUGCGAGCCUCCCGCCUGCGGGAGUUUCGCCGUGAAUUUUUCUAAGUGCGUGGCUGCGUCCCCCAGUUGGCUUUGGUUACCUCGAGCAGGUCGAGCGCGCCCCCGCGGCGCGCGUCACGC
rnacentral:misc_RNA from 1 species